GCAUCAUUGGUCUAGUGGUAGAAUUCAUCGUUGCCAUUCCUUAAUGGGAUCUAACUCGAUGAGGCCCGUGUUCGAUUCACGGAUGAUGCA